rnacentral:rRNA from 1 species
CGGCACGGGUGAGUAACACGUAUCCAACCUGCCGUCUACUCUUGGACAGCCUUCUGAAAGGAAAGAUUAAUACAAGAUGGCAUCAUGAGUCCGCAUGUUCACAUGAUUAAAGGUAUUCCGGUAGACGAUGGGGAUGCGUUCCAUUAGAUAGUAGGCGGGUAACGGCCCACCUAGUCUUCGAUGGAUAGGGGUUCUGAGAGGAAGGUCCCCCACAUUGGAACUGAGACACGGUCCAA